GGGUAAGACUCCUGGGAAUUUGGAAGCUGAGACUUGAGGCAAGUAUUUAGGAUUUGCUGUCUCACCUCCCUGCUAUGACAGUCCUUAAUUAAUGGAGAUGAUGGAGAACAGCUUGCUGGGCUGAGUGGCAGGAGCCAUGCAGCUGCUGGGGCUGGAGUGGGUCAGGAAGCUUCAUCAAUCUGGGACACAUGACGUGCUUGGUGGUGGCGGAGCCUGACGCAUCCCUCUUCAUCGACAUUGUGUCAAUAGGAGCAGAGGCAUUUAGCUGUGUAAACACAGAGCUUCAGUGGCAGCACCCUAAAUGCUUAGCUGAUAGAUCCGGAAUUAAAUACAGACCUAGAAACUGGAGUUGGAAAACUUCCUGGCAGCACUCCUUCCCUGCCAUCCCGGUGAUCCCCUUCUGGAUGGAGGGUGUGGAGCUCAGCACAUUCACGUCUGCAGGUUUAUGAUCAACUUUGAAUUAAUUUUGAUGAAAAGUGUAAGCAGCACAAGAAUGGAAUAGUACAGUGGCUACGAACACAGAAACCACACUCCAGGCCCAGUCCCCGGCAGUGGCCUCCAGGACCCACUCUGAGCUAGAUCACAUCAGUGAUGGGCUGGCCAAUCUUUAAGGAGAAUGACUCUACUCUUAGGAAGCCAGCAGGUUGGAGGAGGAAACACAUUCAAAUCCCGAGCACAAGGAGCUGGGAGAAGACCGGUUAUGGGAGCGGCAUUCCUGGAAGCUCUGAAGUCACAGCCCCACUGAUGAAAGGAUGUAAGAACCUAAGAGUGGAAACCUGCCCCUGGGAUUCAUAUGGUGUCCCCUCAGGACUCAAACCCUGGUCUGCCCUUGCUCUUGCCAGAAGAAGUUUCACACAAAGGUUUGCCUGCGAGGCUGCGCUUUCCUCUCCAGAUCAGCAGAAACAACUUACCAGCAGAAAUACUUAAUGACGGAGCCAAGACUGGCACAGCCACGCGGUCACAGCUUUGUUCCCAAGAAGCAAGCCAAUUAGCAGCCCUGGUUAUUAUUUACAUUUCCCGCAAUAUAUCACUAAAAUUGUGUUGAUGAUUUAUCAUUUAUAUUAUGUUAUUGUCAGCAUAAUUUAUUCAGAUCAUGCUGAGAUACCUGGAAAAUUAAGUAAAAGAAAAAGAAGUGGCAUUGAAUUCAUCGGGUUUGAAAGAUAUUUCUCAGCUUCUUUUUUCUCUCCCUCUCUUUCUCUCUCUCUCUCUCUUUUAAUGAGGAUAGAUGUUAAGAAAAAUCAUGGAUCACUUAGCUAUUAAAUUGUUCCAGGAUCAUCUGCAUUAAAAGUUUGCUCAGUAUUCUUUUGUGAGAGAACAUGGCUUGGGCGUUCAUUUGGAUUUUCUUCUGGAACCUUUUCUUUCAGUCUAUUAUUUCAAAGUAAAAAAAAAAGGAAAUGCAAUCCUCUUUAGUUUAGAGCAAAGCAGAGUGGAUUAAUGAGGGGCUGGAGGCUUCUCUUCCAAUUUAUAAAACAUCCUUAUCUUCUGCCUUAUAUUCUAUUUGCCCCACCCUCUGGGAAAUAAUUGUUGCUUAUCAGAAUUAGAGAUAAAAUAUUCCAGUUGUUGAAGCCAUUCAUCAUCUAGGCAUUCUAGAAAAGCAGUUACUGAACUAGAGGCAGCAUUUUGAGCAUCAGAGCUCUGGGUUCUAGUCCCAGGUCUGUCCAGGCUUUGUGUGAUUCCAGGAGUCACUGAAGCUAUCCUGCUUCUGUUUCCCCAGCAGUGGGAUUCAUGGAUGUCCAGGAUCAGGCUUGCUGGGUCUGCCCCAGGUCUUCAGAAUCAGACUGCCUGGGGAAGGCACAUGGAGGUCUUUUUGACAGGUGUCAUAGGUGAUACUUCUACACACUUCAGUUAGAAAAGUCAUUGGGCUUACAUAUGCCUGCAGCCACUUCCAGCUCCAGUCUUCCUAGAGUUCUACGGACUCUAAUUAUAUGGCAUGUUUUGCAUAUUUCUGAAACUUCAUAUGGGAAACAAACUUUUGGAAAUUGAUUCAUUUAAGAAUCUGUGGCCAGGCGUGGUGGCUCACGACUGUAAUCCCAGCACUUUGGGAGGCUGAGGCGGGUGCAUUGCCUGAGGUCAGGAGUUCAAGACCAGCCUGACCAACAUGGUGAAACCCUGUCUCCGCUAAAAAUACAAAAAAUAGCCGGGCAUGGUGGCGCACACCUGUAAUCCCAGCUACUCCAGAGGCUGAGGCAGGAGAAUUGCUUGAGACCAGGAAGCGGAGGUUGCAGUGAGCACUGCACUCCAGCCUGGGCAGCAAAAGCGGAACUCUCUCUCAAAGAAGAAAAGAAUAUGUAUGGGAUCUUGUUAUUGAAGAGAAGUCCGAAAUAAAUUAUUCAUGGUGUGAAUCCUUUGUAAUAUGAGUGCCUUGUCCACUUGCCACUGAUCGACUAGUACUGGAUUUUCCUCCAGUGAGGUCCAUGUGAAUCUCCCAGCACACCUGGCAGGGGUGCUCAAGGAGAAGGGUGAUUCUCACAAAGUGGCCGUUUUGGUUUCCCGAUAACGGAUCUGGUGACUUGCACCCAGCGCAGACCUAUGGAUGGCAGAGAUGAUGGUCUGAUGUCUUAAGGCAGAGUCCUGGGGUCCCCGUGCUAUCCCUUGGAUAAGGAUAUUUGCUUCUCUGAACCUCCCAGAAUUCCAGGUCCAGGUCAGACCAUCUUUCUGGGAAGUUAUAUAAGGAAUUGUCAUAAGUGACAGGAACAAUAGCAUUAUUAGCACUUGCUGGAAUAUUCAUAUAAAGAUGGUACCUUUUCAUCAGAGAUGUUACGGGACAUGUGGCAUUACCCUUGGGAGGUGGAUCCACUUUCUGUACCAUAAACCCCAGGUGGUCUGCAUGCAGGAAGUGUUUGCCGCUUCCUGUGUAAUUUUUGUGAUGGCAUAGUAGGUAUAUAUAUUAAUGGGUUACUUGAGAUAUUUUGAUACAGGCAUGCAAUGUGUUAAUAACCACAUCAGGGUAAAUGGGGUAUCCAUCACCUCAACUAUUUAUCCUUUUUGUUGUAAACAAUCCAAUUAUACUCUUUUAGUUAUUUUAAAAUGUACAAUUAAAUUAUUUUUGACUAUAGUCUCCCUGUUGUGCUAUGAAAUAGUAGGUCUUAUUCAUUCUUUCUAUUUUUUUUGUAUGUAUUAACCAUCCCCACCUCCCCCAACAACCCUCACUCUCUUUCCCAGCCUCUGGUAACAAUUCUUCUACUCUCUAUUUCCAUUAGUUCAAUUGUUUUGACUUUUAGAUCCCACAAGUAAGUGAUAAGAUGCAAUGUUUAUCUUUCUGUGUCUGGCUUGUUUCACUUAACAUAGUGAUCUCCAGUUCUAUCCAUGUUGUUGCAAAUGACAGGAUCUCAUUUUCUUUUUUUUUAAUGGCUGAAUAGUACUCUAUAGUGUAUAUGUACCACAUUUUCUUUAUCCAUUCAUCUAUUGAUAGACAUUUAAGUUAUUUCCAAAUCUUGGCUAUUGUAAAUGCUGCUGCAACAGAGAUGGCAGACAUCUCUUUGAUAUACUGAUUUCCUUUCUUUUGGAUACAUAGCAGUGGGGUUGCUGGAUCAUAUGAUAGCUCUAUUUUUAGAUUUUUGAGGAACCUCCAAACUCUUCUCCAUAGUAUUUGUACUAAUUUGCAUUAGAGUGUAUAAGGGUUCCCCCUUUCUCCACAUCUUCACAAGCAUUUGUUAUUGCCUGUCAUUUGGAUGAAAGCCAUUUUAACGGGGGUGAGAUGAUAUCUCAUUGUAGUUUUGAUUUGCAUUUCUCUGAUAAUGAAUGAGGUUGAGCACUUUUUCACAUACCAGUUUGCCAUUUGUAUGUACUUUUGCCCAUUUUUGAUCAGAUUAUUAGAUUUUUCUCUCGUAGAGUUGUUUGAGUUCCUUGUAUGUUCUGGUUAUUAAUCCCUCAUUAGAUAGGUAGUUUGCAAAUACUUUCUUCCAUUCCGUGAGUUGUCUCUUCACUUUGUUGAUUGUUACCUUUGCUGUGCGGAAGCUUUUUAACUUGAUGUGAUCCCAUUUGUCCAUUUUUGCUUUGGUUGCCUGUGUUUGUGGCUUAUUAGUACUCUCAAGUACUCUCAAGAAAUUUUUGCCCAGACCAAUGUCCUGAAGAGUGUCUCCAAUGUUUAAUUUAAGUGUUUAACCAAUUUUGAGUUGAUUUUUUUAUGUGGCAGGAGAUAGGGGUCUAGUUUCAUUCUUCUGCAUACAGAUCCCCAGUUUUCCCUGCACUAUUUAUUGAAGAGACUGAGUCUCCCCAGUGUAUGUUUUUGACAUCUUGUGGAGAAUAAGUUAACUCUAGGCAUGUGGAUUUGUUUGUUUCUUGGUUCUUUGUUCUGUUCUAUUAGUCUAUGUGUCUGUUUUUAUGUCAGUACCAUGCUGUUUUGGUUACUAUAACUCUGUAGUAUAAUUUGAAAUCAGGUGGGGGUCACAUUUCAGCAUGAGAUUUGAAGGGGACAAAACAUCCAAACUAUAUCACAGUCCAUGUUGCAAGGGUUUGGCAAAUGCUUGCUGAUUGUCUGUAACUCUGCUUCCGCUUACCCCAGCUGCUGCUCAUUAGCUAUGCCCAAGGCAUGGAUAACUGAAAGAGGGUCAUAAUUACUACCAUGGGAAAUCCUGCCUGUACGUAGAGAAUACAUUUUGUUUUCACUGCUUAUCCCAAUUUUUCUCCCUUUUCUCAUAUAAUCUGUUCCAUCAUUCCCCCACUCUCUCUGCUGCAUUCAAAUGGUCUUGGGUGAUUAGCUAUGAUUCCAAUGAUCUCCUGGCACCAUUGUUAAGUUCAGUGGUGGAUACUCAACAAUUAUAAUUUUUUGGAUUUGGGAUCCAGAGAGACUUUCUUUUCAGCAGUAGAAUCUUGGGAGUGUUUGGCUGCCAUGGUGCCCUCACCUUGGUGCCCUCACCAUGGUGCUCUCACCUUGGCAGAGAGAGGGAGGGGGAAGAAGUGGUAAGAGAGUGUGAGAGCCCUGAAUGCUUUGCCUCCUAGGGCUCCUGUGAUCCAGCCCACUGCUCUGUUUGGCUCUAUGGGGCACCUGGAGGAUGUUCUUGAUAAAUCCACUUACCCUAAACCACCUUGAAAUUGGUUUCUGACAUUUGCAACCAAGACUCAGAAAUUUCUGGACUAAAAAACAAAUAAGCCCCUUAAAAAAUGAAUGAAAGACAUAAACAGACAUGUUCCAAAAGAAGACAUAUAAGCAGCCAACAAGCAUAUGAUAUAAUGCAUCACUAAUCAUCAGAGAAAUGCAAAUCAAAACCAUAGUGAGAUGCCAUCUCACACCAGUCAGAAUGGCUAUUAUCAAAAAGUCAAAAAACAUCAGAUGUUGGUGAGGUUGCAGAGAAUGCUUAUACAUUUUUGGUGGGAAUGUAGAUUAGUUCAACCACUGUGGAAAGCAGUUUUGUGAUUUCUCAAGAACUUAGAACAGAACUACCAUUCAACCCAGGAAUCUCAAUGCUGGGUAUAUAUCCAAAAGAAAACAAAUCAUUGUACCAAAAAGACACAUGCACAUGUAUGUUCAUCCCCACAUUAUUCACAACAGCAAAGACAUGAAAUCCACCUAGGUGGCCAUCAAUGGUGGACUCGAUUAAGAAAAUGUGGUACAUGUACACAAUGGAAUACUAUGCAGCCAUUAAAAAGCAAAAUCAUGUCCUUUACAGCAACUUGGAUGGAGCUGGAGGCCAGAAUCCUACGCUAAUUAAUGCAGGAACAGAAAAAAUACCAUGUGUUCUCACUUACAAGUGGGAGCUAAGGAUUGAGCAUACAUGGACAUAAACAUAGGGACAAUAGAUGCUGGGGACUACUAGAGGGGAGAGGGAGGAGGGGGUGUGGGUUAAAAAACUACCCACUGGGUACUAUGCUCACUACCUGGGGGCAAUAUACCCAUGUAACAAACCUGCAUAUGUAAAAUAAAACUUUAAAAAUGCAUGAACUUUUCCAGUUAGUAAGCAUCUUUUCUUUUUCCUAAUUCUCCCAAUUUUAGUAGAACCAUCUGAAUAGAUUUGAGUACCUUAUGUUGCUAGAUAUGAGAAGUGUGCCAUUUAUCCCUUUAUGUUAAGAAAAGAGGACCAUGUAAUGCGUAAAAUUCUUUAUUAUGUUAUGGUUUUAGUUGAAUGAUAAGUGUCAUAAUCUUGUCUAAACUAGUCCCAUAACUCUUUUUUAUCUCCUAGGCUGGGUGUAUUUAUUUUCUUUUGCUCUCAAAAUUAUUUUGGAAUUAUGACUUACCAUUAAUACUUGAAAAGUGAUCAAAUAGAGGAAAGCAUUCUAAAGGUGGAGAAAGAGAUGUGCAGCUAACAGGAGACAUUUAUGCGUUAUUUCACCAGCCCACAAGUUCAAGUUCUAGGAGUUGAAAUGGCAAAGGCCUGAGGACUUUCAGCAUUUUGUCAACACUGACCAAGCGAACAGGGUGCUGUUCACAAUCCAAGUUCGCAAUCCAAGUGCAUGCUGUCUUUGGAUUAAAUGGUUUAUGCAGAUUGGUCUUGGUUCUUCUGUACGUUCUGUAUUGGGGAGGGAUGAUGAGUGGAUGGACAUCUUGCAGAUAAGACCCCUUGCCCAGUAUACUGUGGGGUUCACUGUAGUUGUGGAGGAAGACCUUUCAGUUUGGGGGCAGAGCACAAUUUUUGUGUCCCUUUACUCAAAAUGCUAACUCAGUCUGAUCUCUGGUAGGUGUCCUGAAUUGUCUUUAAAAAGUGAUCGAGAUUAUAUUUUCAAUUUUGAAUAUACUGCUGAACCCCUGACAUGCAGAGCAAUCUAUCUGGACUGAAAACUUGGCCAGGGAUGGUCUAUGCCAAGCAGUGAAGGCUGUGAAGAGAUGCUUGGGAAGGGUACAAGAAGGAAGGAAAGGAGCCCCCUGGGACAAUGAAGGAAGAUGCUGUGGUUGGCCCCGGGGCUCAGAAAACAGGCAGGUGAAGGAGUGGAAAAUGAUCACUUUGAUCCAAGGAACCACCUGCCCCACUACAAGUGAACACCAGCUGACCCAGUGCUGACCGUGUUUAUCUUCUGCCUCAGUUUUCCUCAAAUGUACAUGCAAAAGAUAUUAGAUGGCUUCCACAAAGGCUCUAUGCAUAUGAGAAUCCCUGUUCACAAACACAAAGCCCUGUUGACAAGAAGACAAUGAGCCUCGUGAGUACAUCGGCCAGAUCCUGGGAGAUUUGUUCUGUAUGCACUCCAGGAUCUGAAUCUGCUCUCAAAAUCACUAGCUCCAAUCUAUGAAAGAAAAAUGCCCCACAGAACACACUGCCUCUUAAUAAGUUAGUCUUUCCAACUCAUAGACUUUUCCUCCUUUAAAUUAGCACGACGGUUUUCAAAGCAAAAUUUUCAGCCACCUAAGAAUCCCUCCUCAUCUUUAUAAACAUAAAGUGAAAUAACUGACAAAUGUUCAUGCCAUAGCUCCCCUCUACAUAAACACACACAGGCACACAUGCAUGCACAGAUGUGGUUAGUGGUUCUAACUUGGUCAGGUUAGAACAAAGGCAACAGACGUCCCCCUGUCACCAUGCAGGCACCCAGGGCUGUGCCUGCCCAUCAGCCCCGAUAGCAGCAAUUACACAGUCCGUGGGUGUGAUGAGCUGCAAACUAAACAUUUGUAAAAAGGCUGUUAUUAAUGCAAUUAGCUAUUUACACGAUAGCCCAUAAUGAAUCCAAAGGCAUCGUUAUUGACUAUUGAGUAAAUAAUCUGACAUUAAAAAGUCAAUGAUCUGCAAAUGAAAAAUUCUCUCUCUCUUUUUUUAAAGGAGGAAAGAUGAAAGAAAGAAAAUUAAGGAAAAGAGGAAAACAAGCAAAAAACUCAGCAAAGAUGUCAUUGCAUAAUAGUCCAUUAUGCCUCCAAUUGAGCCGUCAUGAACUAUCAAAGAAAUAAUUGCGCAAUAAGCCCAUAAUGGCUUAAUCGUGUCAACAUCUUUGCA
rnacentral:lncRNA from 1 species